CCUGGAGCCCCUUGGCUUUUCUUUAUAAUGAUGAUUUUUAAGCAGGUGAUCAGGUCUUUGCCUCCGCCAGCCUGUUGGGCACGGAUGCCUGAUGCUACAGUCGCUGCGGCUGUAGUUUGGUUGUGGUUCUGCUGUUGGAACAUGCGUCGCUCUCAGCUGGCGGAGAUGAUCGACUGCCUUGCUUCUUGGAACAUUCUGAAGGAACACGCUGACGAUGACCAAAAUCUUGCCAUUUCGGGGGUCCCCGUGGUCAGCUGGCCCAAGAAGACCACAAAGGAAAUGCUCUCAUCUGGAGGAGAGGAGGCUUCUCCUUGGACACUGUCAGACCUGUAUCCUCUGCCCAGCUCCGGCUCCGCAGCUUUGGAGGGUUGUCCCUGCGGCUUCCUUUUGCUCUCUAUAUGUGGCAAUAAUUCUCUCUGCUUUGUAGGAGCGAGGCUUGCUUCAUUAAUACUUGCAAAGAAUUUGAAAUAACUAACUAAAGAGGAAUGUCAAAGAGUUAUAUGUUGUUUUUAUCAGGGGUGUGUUUACCAAACUGCAGUUAUUCAGACUGCUGUAAAAGGAGCCUGCUUAUUUAGAUGAUGUCUCAUUGCUUCUAUUUUCACUGCUAUUCUUCACUGAAUUAAUUUUAUAAUACAUAAUUUCUCAAAAAAUGCUGAAAGGGUCAGUCAUCAUAAAUCAGGCUUCUAUCUGAAAAUCUGUUCCUCUUUGUAAAUAACUUUCAAAUCAUUAACUGAGUGAAUUAUUUUCCCUGUUUUCAUUUAAUUUGCUUGUGCACUUGCUGUGUAUAUCAUCACUUGUAGCCRUAAGAAUAAGCUAUUUCCAAAUGGAAAAAAGGAGACUGUAAACUUGAGAAAGCAGAGGCCAAAAUGCAUCUCGG